UCCCAGUGGAGGCAAGAGCCCUCGGGCAUGUUUCCGUUCAUUCAGCACCGCGGACAGCUCCGCUGGAGGCUGGGUUAGCCUACAUGCUAAAAACCUAUGUUGCAGUUCAGUGGAGAGUAUAGUCAAGAUUUGUGAAACUUUAAAAAGCGCAUCAGGACAAAAUGUAGCCCUAAACGAAUUGCAAUUUAUUUCGAUUAGGAUUUGGACAAUGACUUUUUAAUUCCUGGAAUGGAUUACUGAACAGGGGUGCGUUUCCCAAAAGCAUCGUUGCUAACUACGGUAGCAACUAACAUGGUUGCAACUAUGUAAGUACGACACAACUGUUCCCCAAAACGAUAGUGUGAACUAUGGUGGUGGAACUUACAUAGUACGAUGCAUCGUGACACUGCGUCAGUGUUUCCCAAAACCAUAGUAGCAACUAACGUUCGCAACCACUAUCGUAAAGUUGUGUAGUUACAGCUACACCUCUCGACCUGUAGUAUGUAGUAAGAACCAUAGUAGACGACGUAACCCUGAUGACGGAACACGCAGAGGACAGAUGGAUGAGAGGUAGCCAUUAAACGAUCCCAUAACAUUGCUGUGGGAUACCAUACCAUAGCAUUGCCGGAAUCUACAAUUGCACAUUACUGUGGUACAGUGGAAAGUGAAGUGUUAUGGAGUUAGCCUCCAACAGAGCGGCCUGUGGUGAAGUGCUAUGGUGACCGCAAUCAUCUGUGUUGUUAUUAUUCGUGAAUUUACAUGUAGCCUAAUGCUAAUGUGUCAGCACAGAUUCUUUCGAACACCCGUUAAGUUAAGUUAUCUGGUGAUAAAGCUUUUGAAUGCCAACGGUAUUGUUAUGUGAGGCUAGCAUUGUAAUUGUUAUAAAAGGAUAACGUUACAUUGUAGUCGUAUGUUAAGUGUGUUUGGAUGAAGCAUCUGCUAAUCAUACACAUAGCUAACGGUAUAUGGACUCUACAGCCCAUUAUGAUGUGGUGAAGUGACUGUGCUGUGGCAGAGACUGUAGCGUGUGUGCUUUACAUGAGAGAGGUCAGGGGUUCAAGACUGAGUCAUGGGUGUGAGGUAUGGGUAGGCCUGUCAUGGGAGGCGGAAAAAUGGCCAGCAGGAAGGUGUGCAACAGCCACUGGAAUGACCUCUUCCACCUCCUCCACUAACAGCUCCUCAUCAGCCGGCAGUGGGAUGUGAUCCUGAAGGGCCAUGUUGCAGAAGCGCCACCACCAAAACUACACUGCACGCCUUUGCAGGAUGGAGCUUCAGGCCACCAGCGGAUUUGCUCACACACCUUUCCACAUGCCCAAGGCCCUCUCCACAACAACGCGGGUCCGGCUAUGGGCGUUGUUGUACCGCGCCUCUGCCUCGCUGUUGGGCUCCUAGAUGGAGCAGUUGACAUGCUUGUAUUAUCAUAGGGGGUUGAUGGAAUAAAGUAGGUCUUGAAAUGUCAGUGCACUCACAGGGAAUAUAGACAUGCAUUUGAAAACAACAGUAUAGACUUUGCUACUAUCUCAGCAGCAGAAGGCAACAACAUGAGCAGCACCUACAGUAACACUGUGUGUGUGUGUGUGUGUAUAUGUUGGUACAGCUGGCGCAGAUCCUUCAACCAUUUGAGCAUUGAAACAUUUGUGCUAUGUGAACUGUCAUUUUGUGGUUGUGAUUCAACACACAACUUCAUAACUACAAUAGAUGAAAAGUAAUGGUAAAAAAAACUGUAUCUGUGCAUUUAAAAUAUCAUGAAAUACUUGUGUGUGGUAACAGUA